rnacentral:rRNA from 1 species
GACGAACGCUGGCGGCGCGCUUAACACAUGCAAGUCGAACGGAAAGGCCUGCUUUCCCUUGUGGAUUGCGGGUACUCGAGUGGCGAACGGGUGAGUAACACGUGAGUGAUCUGCCCCCAACUUGGGUAUAAGCCUGGGAAACUGGGUCUAAUUCCCGAUAGGACUGCAGGGUGGUGCCUGUGGUGGAAAACGAUUUUCUAGUGGUUGGGGAUGAGCUCGCGGCCUAUCAGCUUGUUGGUGGGGUAAUGGCCUACCAAGGCGGCGACGGGUAGCCGGCCUGAGAGGGUGGACGGCGACAUUGGGACUGAGAUACGGCCCAGACUCCUACGGGAGGCAGCAGUGGGGAAUAUUGCACAAUGGGCGGAAGCCUGAUGCAGCGACGCCGCGUGGGGGAUGACGGCCUUCGGGUUGUAAACUCCUUUCGACCGCGAGGAAGCCACCUGGUUGGAAGGGUGGUGACGGUAGUGGUAGAAGAAGCACCGGCUAACGACGUGC